rnacentral:rRNA from 1 species
AUUGAACGCUGGCGGCAGGCUUAACACAUGCAAGUCGAGCGGGGGAGGUUGCUUCGGUAACUGACCUAGCGGCGGACGGGUGAGUAAUGCUUAGGAAUCUGCCUAUUAGUGGGGGACAACAUUCCGAAAGGAAUGCUAAUACCGCAUACGCCCUACGGGGGAAAGCAGGGGAUCUUCGGACCUUGCGCUAACAGAUGAGCCUAAGUCGGAUUAGCUAGUUGGUGGGGUAGAGGCCUACCAAGGCGACGAUCUGUAGCGGGUCUGAGAGGAUGAUCCGCCACACGGGGACUGAGACACGGCCCAGACUCCUACGGGAGGCAGCAGUGGGGAAUAUUGGACAAUGGGCGGAAGCCUGAUCCAGCCAUGCCGCGUGUGUGAAGAAGGCCUUUUGGUUGUAAAGCACUUUAAGCGAGGAGGAGGCUCUUAAGGUUAAUACCCUUGAUGAGUGGACGUUACUCGCAGAAUAAGCACCGGCUAACUCUGUGCCAGCCGCCGCAGUAAUAC